CCUGUCUCAACGGGGUGCCUUUAUUUUUAGGCUGAGAAUUAACCCGUAGAACCUGAUCCGGGCAAUACCGGCGUAGGGAUUUGAGCUACCGUCAAUU
rnacentral:ncRNA from 2 species